rnacentral:rRNA from 1 species
GAUGAACGCUGGCGGCGUGCCUAAUACAUGCAAGUCGAACGCUGGAGAUCUAGCUUGCUAGAUCGAAGGAGUGGCGAACGGGUGAGUAAUACAUAAGCAACCUACCCACGAAGACUGGGAUAAUCUCUGGAAACGGGGACUAAUACCGGAUAGGUAAUCGGAAGGCAUCUUCUGGUUAUUAAAGGUUAAAAACACUGGUGGAUGGGCUUAUGGCGCAUUAGUUAGUUGGUGAGGUAACGGCCCACCAAGACGAUGAUGCGUAGCCGGCCUGAGAGGGUGAACGGCCACAUUGGGACUGAGACACGGCCCAGACUCCUACGGGAGGCAGCAGUAGGGAAUUUUCGGCAAUGGGGGCAACCCUGACCGAGCAACGCCGCGUGAGUGAAGACGGCCUUCGGGUUGUAAAGCUCUGUUGUAAGGGAAGAACGGUAGAUAGAGAAUAUCUAAGUGGCGGUACCUUACCAGAAAGCCACGGCUAACUACGUG